UACGGAGGGGGCUAGCGUUGUUCGGAAUUACUGGGCGUAAAGCGCACGUAGGCGGCUUUGUAAGUUAGAGGUGAAAGCCCGGGGCUCAACCUGGGAAUGGCAUUGGAAACUGGCUUGCUAGAGUGUGGCAGAGGGGGGUGGAAUUCCGCGUGUAGCAGUGAAAUGCGUAGAGAUGCGGAGGAACACCGAUGGCGAAGGCAGCCCCCUGGGCUGACACUGACGCUCAGGCACGAAAGCGUGGGGAGCAAACAGG
rnacentral:rRNA from 1 species